rnacentral:rRNA from 1 species
UACGUAGGGUGCAAGCGUUAAUCGGAAUUACUGGGCGUAAAGCGUGCGCAGGCGGUUGUGCAAGACAGAUGUGAAAUCCCCGGGCUCAACCUGGGAACUGCAUUUGUGACUGCACAGCUUGAGUGCGGCAGAGGGGGAUGGAAUUCCGCGUGUAGCAGUGAAAUGCGUAGAUAUGCGGAGGAACACCGAUGGCGAAGGCAAUCCCCUGGGCAUGCACUGACGCUCAUGCACGAAAGCGUGGGGAGCAAACAGG